rnacentral:ribozyme from 1 species
UGCUCAGCAACUCCUAUCCCUACCUCCUCGUGGUACUGGCCGGGGUACGAGUAACCUUAGGGAAGAUCGGGUGGG